GUGGGGAAUCUUGCGCAAUGGGCGAAAGCCUGACGCAGCCAUGCCGCGUGGAUGAUGAAGGUCUUAGGAUUGUAAAAUCCUUUCACCGGUGAAGAUAAUGACUGUAGCCGGAGAAGAAGCCCCGGCUAACUUCGUGCCAGCAGCCGCGGUAAUACGAAGGGGGCUAGCGUUGCUCGGAUUUACUGGGCGUAAAGGGCGCGUAGGCGGACAUUUAAGUCAGGGGUGAAAUCCCGGGGCUCAACCUCGGAACUGCCUUUGAUACUGGUUGUCUUGAGUAUGAGAGAGGUGUGUGGAACUCCGAGUGUAGAGGUGAAAUUCGUAGAUAUUCGGAAGAACACCAGUGGCGAAGGCGACACACUGGCUCAUUACUGACGCUGAGGCGCGAAAGCGUGGGGAGCAAACAGGAUUAGAAACCCGAGUAGUCC
rnacentral:rRNA from 1 species